GACAGAGGGUGCAAACGUUGUUCGGAAUUACUGGGCGUAAAGCGCGUGUAGGCUGCUCCGCAAGUCGGCGGUGAAAGCCCGGGGCUCAACCCCGGAACUGCCAUCGAUACUGUUAGGCUUGAGUACAGGCGAGGUUGGCGGAAUGGGCGGUGUAGCGGUGAAAUGCAUAGAUACCGUCCAGAACCCCGAUUGCGAAGGCAGCUGACUAGGCUGUAACUGACGCUGAGGCACGAAAGCGUGGGGAGCGAACAGG
rnacentral:rRNA from 1 species